UUUCUGACUCAUCUAAUUAUUAUUCUCGUUUGUUAGGGAUUAUCCGGACCUUCCUCUUCGCCUGCUGUUGUUCAGUCAGUUUUCUCCAUGCGUCCAAACAUCUCUCUCUCCUCGACUCUGACUGUACUGUGGACAUCAGUCCUCGCAGGAUGUCCUCAGCUUGACACGUUUGCUCCAGAAUCCUCUGCUCUGGAGUCUUUGGCGUGCCGUAAUGACUACCGCUCUCAUAUCCGCUGCAGCUGGAGAGACGAUCCUCCUGUUCUUCUCUCUCUGCUCCACAUGGAUCCAGAUGACCACCGAGUAUCGCCCUGUGUUCCGACUCCUAACCCUUCCCAGAAUCCCACUGGGAUGGAGAGAGUUUAUUGUCAGUAUAACACAUCUCUGUUUGCCAUCGGCUUUGAUGACUUGUUCUUCUUCCACAUGGCACACUCUUCCGGCAUUUCCAGGACCUUCAGACUCACAAAAUUUGAAGAUGCAGAUCCAUACUGGAAUUUUUACCAGCUAGAUGACACUCCACCACCUUCACCUCUGACCUCUGACCCCUUCAGACAGCAUGACCAAGAGCGCUCACUGGAAAUUGACCAUGAAAUAAUCAAGGACAAAAAUGGCGGGAACAUUCACAACAAGUCAACACAGAAACAUGUGGAAGAUGGCGGGAAUAAAACUGAGGUCUUGGCUGACAGGCCAGAACUGAUAUCUGAGUACUCACUCCCUGGUCCAUCUAACCUAAACUGUAUGCUCAGUGACGGGAAUAAUUUGAGCUGUAGCUGGGAUCUCAAAACAGAUCUGGCCCAGUACAUCAGCUACACACUGUCCUACCGGACACACUCCACUGCACCGAACGAGUGGUGCUGUGUUGAGAAGGUGGAGGUCACAAAUAAAGGAGCUUUGUUGAGGAUGGUUGGUGUCUUCAGUGUCUUUGAGCCUGGAGUGCUGCAGGUGCAACUCACGCCAAUGCCGGUGACCAAAGUGAUCCGCUCUUACGAACACAGUUUGUACCUCUACAAAUAAAACCCCCUUUUAAAAAUACUUGCCAGGCUAAUCAGAAUCAAGUAUUCCAGAAAGCUGUUUAAUCAAAACCUCUACAGAUUCUCAGAGCUGUUAUUGAUCUGGUCUGUAUCGGUGGUUUUUGUGGUCUAGUCCAGCCUGCAUGUCCCGCGGGUCUGAGCGUUGAACUGAGAGGAGAAGACUGGAUUUUGAACUGGACUUUAACAAAGUAUCGUACUGUACCUCUCACUACUGAACUCAAGUACUUGAGCCUACUAACUCCUGUGAGUAUUAAAUAUAUAAGGGUGUUUUUUCAUCUUUUAAACUGGCAGGAAAAUCCCAGUA
rnacentral:lncRNA from 1 species